UAGGGAAUCUUCGGCAAUGGACGAAAGUCUGACCGAGCAACGCCGCGUGAGUGAAGAAGGUUUUCGGAUCGUAAAACUCUGUUGUUAGAGAAGAACAAGGACGUUAGUAACUGAACGUCCCCUGACGGUAUCUAACCAGAAAGCCACGGCUAACUACGUGCCAGCAGCCGCGGUAAUACGUAGGUGGCAAGCGUUGUCCGGAUUUAUUGGGCGUAAAGCGAGCGCAGGCGGUUUCUUAAGUCUGAUGUGAAAGCCCCCGGCUCAACCGGGGAGGGUCAUUGGAAACUGGGAGACUUGAGUGCAGAAGAGGAGAGUGGAAUUCCAUGUGUAGCGGUGAGAUGCGUGGAUAUAUGGAGGAACACCAGUGGCGAAGGCGGCUCUCUGGUCUGUAACUGACGCUGAGGCUCGAAAGCGUGGGGAGCAAACAGG
rnacentral:rRNA from 1 species